CUCCGCCCGGGUCGUGCGAACGGCCAGGCGGGUCUGGAGGCUUAACCUCCGCUGGUAGACGUCUUUUCCCCGUUAUCGCGACUUACCGACCUGUCUCUUCGCGAAGGGACGACGCAUGCUUCUUCCGGCCGCCGCCGGGCGGGGCGAAACAAAAACUCAAGGGAAAAGGACUUCUCCCAUGGCCAUCAAGGGCACCGUAAAAUUCUUCAAUCAGGACAAGGGCUUCGGCUUCAUCACUCCGGAAGGCGGCGCGAAGGACGUUUUCGUUCACAUCUCCGCUCUCCAGGCUGCUGGCAUUCAGACCCUGCGUGACGGUCAGGAAGUAACCUUCGACACCGAAGCUGACCGCAUGGGCAAGGGCCCGAAGGCUGUCAACAUCCGCGCUGCUUAAUUGUAGCGAUUCUGCCUCAAGGCAGACGAUUUCGAACGGCGUUCCGCAAGGAGCGCCGUUUUUG
rnacentral:other from 1 species